rnacentral:lncRNA from 1 species
AGUGGGGGGUCUGUGGUCCGGGGGAGAGUUAAAAAUGGUUAAGUCACGAGCCCAAACAGGCUCGUGAGCUGCUUGAGCUCGAGUUUAAAUGGACUUUAUUUUGGGCUCGGGCUCGUUUGAUUAACGAGCCGAGCUCGAGCCGAGCUUUUACCUGGCCGAGCUCGAGCCGGGCCCGAGCAACUCGGCUCGUUAACAGGCCUAAUCAAGGUUCGCUGUACCGGUCGGUACCAGUCGGUACCGAGCGUACCGUACCCGUACCGAUGGGUACCGGUAUCGGUACACCAAUGUCGGUACGGUCGGUAUCGAGCGUACGGUACCGUACCGACACUCGGUACGCCUAUACUAGUGCGGCACCGGUACGGGGUUCGGUACCGGUACGGCGAACCUUGGGCCUAAUGGCUACAAUAUCCUUUGAACUUUAUCUGAAGAUGUUAGCUAGGCUUUUGAGUAAGUUCAUCUCACAUUUUUCUCUCUCUCUUUGGGGGAAAUUGGUUGUUAAUAUUUAAGAUGCGAUGCAAGAAGGAUUAGGAAUGAUAUAAUUUGAACCUUUUUUUUAUUGAAGAUGAAGACAAAAUGGAGAUAGACUAUUAAUGAAAAGAUUAAAUUAGUCCUAAAAGUUGAGAUGAGUUGUGAACAGGCUGAGCUGAACUUAUCAUUUCAUGACAGUUUCUGCUUUUAAUUCCCAAGGAUUUCUGAGAACUCUAAAGUAAGCAAUAACUUUUUUAAAAUUUUUAAAUUUACUCCUCUUUUAAUGUUAAACCAAAUCAAUUCCGCAAAAUAUAAUGGAGAAAUUUCAAAAGACCAAAGAAUGAAACAUAACUUGUAUUGCAUACCAGACCUUUAACUACAACCUCAAAAUUUAAAGAUCUUCCACUACACGCUAUCAUGACUGUUGAAACUUGCCUUCUGAUUUGAUCUACUUUGAGCAUAUGUUAAUUUGCAAUCUAUGGUUGAGUAUGUAGAUGUGGUAAUCUAAUUCCUGAUAUGUAUCUUGAUCCAUUAGACAAACACUGCCAAGAUCACAGAAGGAAAACCACAUGUUAGAGUAGGCAAGAAAAUGACAGAGAGGCUAUAAAAUAUUUCUAUCCCUUUUGACUUUUGUUAAUGGUACACAAACUGAAAGGAUGAAAGCCUUAACAC